UACGUAGGUGACAAGCGUUGUCCGGAUUUACUGGGCGUAAAGAGCGCGCAGGCGGUCGUUCAAGUCGAGUGUGAAAGCCCCCGGCUCAACUGGGGAGGGUCACUCGAUACUGAUCGACUCGAAGGCAGGAGAGGGUAGUGGAAUUCCCGGUGUAGUGGUGAAAUGCGUAGAUAUCGGGAGGAACACCAGUGGCGAAGGCGACUACCUGGCCUGUAACUGACGCUGAGACGCGAAAGCGUGGGGAGCAAACCGG
rnacentral:rRNA from 1 species